rnacentral:tRNA from 2 species
CGGGGCGUGGCGCAGUCCGGUAGCGCACCUGCUUUGGGAGCAGGGAGUCGGAGGUUCAAAUCCUCUCGCCCCGA